CUGAAGGUUCCCUGGCCUUAUGACAACACAAACGGAAACAAGAAGUUCCAGAAUACAGGGUCCUGUGGCCAAAUGGGAGAGGGCACAGGGCCAGGGGCCCCGGCCAGACACAGGCCCAGGUCUGCAGCUGGCCGGCUGAGGCUGUGGCGCCCGGCAUUGUCUCAACAUGGCCCUGGAGCUCUACAUGGACCUGCUGUCAGCACCCUGCCGGGCCGUCUACAUCUUUUCAAAGAAGCACGACAUCCCAUUCACCUUUCAGUUUGUGGAUCUGCUGAAAGGUCAGCUUCCACUGCUGCCCAGCAGGCCUGGUCCUGGGGGGAGGCAGGGCACACAGCUUGGGGCUUAUUUUUUUUUCUUGUUUCUUGAUGGAGUCUCGCUCUGUCACCCAGACUAUAGUGCAGUCGCGCGAUCUUGGCUCACUGCAACCUCCACUGGAUUCAAGUGAGUCUCCUGCCUCAGCCUCCUGGUAGCUGGAAUUACAGGUGCAUGCCACCACAUCCAGCUAAUUUUUAGUGUUUUUAGUGGAGACUGGGCUUCACCAUGUUGGCCAGGCUGGUUUCGAACUCCUGACCUCAAGUGAUCUGCCCACCUCAGCCUCCAAGUGCUGGGACUACAGGCAUGAGCCACCACACCCAGCCUGAUUGGGGUGUUUCUGAGAAGUAGAGACAGAGACAAGGGAGUCCCCUGAGAGGUCCACGGGGAAGGAAGAGAAGCCAGGGGGCUGUAGGCUGCGUCCCUACAGCCCACCUUAGCCAGUCCCCACUAAUGACAGUUCUUACACCGGAGAUGAACAGGCUCUUCUAGGGGAAGGGGGAAGGAAGAGCGGCUGGGACUCCCUGGGCUCCCACCAGGCGCCCUCACUUCCUGGUGGGAGUCUAGGACCUUGUGAACGCAGCACCUGCCUGCCAGGUUGGCAGAGGGGGCAGAAGUGCACAGUCUACACCCAUCCUCCCCAGUGUUCCGAAUGGCUCAGGGCUCUACUGACCCCAAGUGAGGGUCAAAGGUCUGGGCUCCAACUCCAUCCCAGGCACACAGGGGCUCCAAGAGUUCAGCCUGCAAAAGCAGAAGCCUUUGGAGCACAGAGGAAGACACAGAAGCUGUGGAAAGAAACAGGGUGCGAGGGGAGCCCUGGAAAUGUUUCCAACAGGAGGCAGCUGGUCCAGGAAGAGCUUCAGUUCCUGCCCCCACAUCAGGUUCCCUGUUCAGACGACCCCAAUUGCAUCCAAGAGGCUCCCCUUUGGAUGUCCAGCCGUGUGCUGGGCCCGGCUUCCUUAGAGCAAGGACAGAGCGAGGGCGAUGGGAGCGGGACUAGGACCCAGGCCCUCAGGGCUUCAGGUCACCACCACAGCAAAGAAUACAUUGACAUCAACCCCCUCAGGAAGCUGCCCAGCCUCAAAGACGGGAAAUUUGUCUUAACCGAAAGUUGCUGAUCCCAAAGAUAACAGGGGAGGAAGUUUCAGCUGAGAAGAUCGAUCAUGCAGUGGCGGAGGUGAAGAACAGCCUGCAGCUCUUCGAGGAGUAUUUUCUACAGGACAAGAUGUUCAUCACUGGGGACCAAAUCUCACUGGCUGACUUGGUGGCUGUGGUGGAGAUGAUGCAGCCCAUGGCAGCCAACUAUAAUGCCUUCCUCAACAGCUCUAAGCUAGCUGAAUGGUUCAUGCGGGUGGAGCUGAGUAUCGGCUCUGGCCUCUUUAGGGAGGCCCACAAUCGACUAAUGCAGCUGGCUGACUGGGACUUUUCAACAUUGGAUCCAGUGGUCAAGGAGAAAAUUU